UACGUAGGGUGCGAGCGUUAAUCGGAAUUACUGGGCGUAAAGGGUGCGUAGGUGGUGAGGUAAGUCGGAUGUGAAAUCUCCGAGCUCAACUCGGAAAUGGCAUUGGAAACUACCUUGCUCGAGGGUUGGAGGGGGGACUGGAAUGCUUGGUGUAGCAGUGAAAUGCGUAGAUAUCAAGCGGAACACCAGUGGCGAAGGCGAGUCCCUGGACAACUCCUGACACUGAGGCACGAAAGCUAGGGGAGCAAACAGG
rnacentral:rRNA from 1 species